UUGAAUAAAAAAUACAGUGAAACUGGAAGUUAAGAAAAUUAUGGCGAAAAAACAUUGGCUCAACUGUUAUAAACUGUUAUAAAAAUGCUUUUAUUGCAAUUUUUCGAACAGUUUAUAACAGUUCGAUGGCUGUUUUUUCGCCACAAC